GCGGGAUUAGUUGAGUGGCUCAACGUCAGCUUUCCAAGCUGAAGAGACGGGUUCGACUCCCGUAUCCCGCUCCA
rnacentral:tRNA from 4 species